rnacentral:rRNA from 1 species
GACGAACGCUGGCGGCGUGCUUAACACAUGCAAGUCGAACGAAAAGAGGGAAAGAGCUUGCUCUUUCCGGAAUUGAGUGGCAAACGGGUGAGUAACACGUAAACAACCUGCCUUCAGGAUGGGGACAACAGACGGAAACGACUGCUAAUACCGAAUAAGUUCCAAGAGCCGCAUGGCCCAUGGAAGAACAGGUGGCCUCUACCUGUAAGCUAUCGCCUGAAGAGGGGUUUGCGUCUGAUUAGCUGGUUGGAGGGGUAACGGCCCACCAAGGCGACGAUCAGUAGCCGGUCUGAGAGGAUGAACGGCCACACUGGAACUGAGACACGGUCCAGACUCCUACGGGAGGCAGCAGUGGGGAAUCUUCCGCAAUGGGCGAAAGCCUGACGGAGCAACGCCGCGUGAGUGAUGACGGCCUUCGGGUUGUAAAACUCUGUGAUCCGGGACGAAAAGGCAGAGUGCGAAGAACAAACUGCAUUGACGGUACCGGAAAAGCAAGCCACGGCUAACUACGUG